ensembl:lncRNA
CUCACAGUUGUUAACAAUUGUGUAAGUUUUAAUAAACUGUAUAAUGUCCAAUGGUAUGCUCUUGUACUUGUAUUUCUCUAUGUAAUUGUUGGUUGUGUUACAUUUAGUACGGUUUAUUUGCUCUGUCUUGCAUUCAUUAUUCGGGUGUGUUCAUGUUUUCAAACAGGAGAGGGAGACUGACCCAGAUGAGGGGGAGGAGGCGGCAGAGGAAGAGGCCUCAUCUUCCCAUUUGCAGAGACUGAGGACUACAGUGACCAAGCUGUUCCAGCUGAACCAGGCCAUCAGACAGCUGCAUUCCUGUCUGUCUACCGCCCUGCGAGGAAAAGACAGAGACUCUAACCUCAGCAACAGCAGAGAGCUCAUCUCCUCGUCUGCCAAGGCUGUCGGUGAGCAGAUCACUGGUCUGUCCAAAGAGGGAGCACUGACGCCGUCCCUACAGCUUCCCUUUCUUCAGAGUGUCAUGGCUGCACGAGACGAGCUCCACUCUGCCCUGCAGUCCCUGUCCUCCUGGAACCAACAGGGGGCAGGAGAGAGCAGAAGUUCUGCCGCUUCAGAUAAGAGCACAAAAGAGGAAAUCUUGAGUAAAGAGACUCACAGUGCUGUUAGACAUCGAGUCGUGAGUAAGAUUGUGUACUCUCUCCCUCCUGGUGUGACAUCCAAAGGCAGCUUACACUGGGUAUGAUUUAUGCUAUGUGUUUUUCUAUAUGAUGUGCUCACAUUAUGUACGAUUUACUGUAACAUUUUAAAUGCUGAUACAGAGAAAACUUCUGCUGGUAACACCAAACGCUCCGGUGUCACGUGCCUGGCAUCACAGGCAACAAUCACUGCAGAGACUUAUCCAAUUUGCUAAAAAAUAAGUCAUAUUCACAUACAACCAACUCUGCUUUCUAAAUGUGAGCAAUAUUUGGAUUUUUUACACGCCCUAUUUUUUCAAUUACAAAAAAAAUAAUAAAUGUGAGAAAAAUGAGGUGUCCAUGUGUGGAUGCUUCAAAACUACAGCAAUAAUUCCAGUCAUCGCGUCACUUCUUAUAUGGUGUAAAAAGCACUGCUGUCAAGAUGUGCUGUACUUUCUUUCUUUAGUCUCGUGAUAAUUGGCUGCUUUAAAGUAUUGGGGCAAAGACUACGAUUACAGAAUGUGUAGAGUUUAACAGUCAUUCAUGAUGGAUAAACACAAUUAGGAACAGAAAUUGGCUGUAAGCAGAAUGCUCACUUAUGCUACCAGGCCUUUCCUGUUCUACUGUAUUUUUUUUCAGAGGCCGCCAAAUUGUUCUUUUUUUGCAUCGUUUUAAUAAUACAAACAAACAUGCACGAUUUCAAUAUGCAGCAGCUCAGGUACAGUGUUUUGUAAAAAAAAAUAAUGACAGACUUUCUCCCCACUCUGUGCUGUAUAUGAAUUCUCUCUUGAAUGAAGGCAUAUUUUGUUCUUCCAUUUGCUCUUAUAUGUUGUAAAACACGCGCUGCAGCUAUUUGCACUCAGGAGAGACUUGUGUACUCUGUGUUUCUUCUUAAUACAUGUACUUUAACAAAGCAGUAUUGUACGUCCUAUUUAGUCUUUUGUAUCACUUGGUAAAAGAUUGAUGUAUCUACAGCAACUUGUACUUCUGCA